rnacentral:ncRNA from 1 species
AUGAUGGUUUAGUUGCUUUUCAUUAUAGGUCAUAUGGGACUUUUUUGAUACUCAAAAAGGCUCCAUAAUCUCCACAGGGGAUUUACCAACUACAGUCUUAUAGAGC